UGACUGAAAGACAGAAGCAUUUGGGAUACAUAACAGAAGUCAUUAAAAAGAGCCAUGUAAUAUGUGCCUGCUUCCCCUUCUGCCAUGAUUGUAAGUUUCCUGAUGCCUUCCCAGCCAUGCAGAACUAGUCUCACUCUGUUGUCCAGGCUGAAGUGCAGUGGCGCAAUCUCGGCUCACUGCAACCUCCACCUCAGGGGUUCAAAUGAUUCUUCUGCCUCAGCCUCCCAAGUAGAUGGGAUUACAGGCAUGUGCCACCAUGCCCAGCUAAUUUUUGUGUUUUUAGUAGAGACUGGGGUUUCACCAUGUUGGCCAGGCUGUUCUCAGACUCCUGACCUCAGGUGAUCCAUCUGCCUCAGCCUCCCAAAUUGCUGGGAUUACAGGCAUGAGCCACUGCACCAAGCCUUAUUCUAUUGAUUAUUAUAAGAAGUGUUAACAUCUUGAACUAUGAUUAUAUAUGCAUCAUUUUAAGCAUAUACAUUUGAUUUUGUUAAGUCCUCCUGAAGAAGUCUGUUUAUAAUAUUGAAUAUCCUAGUUGAUCAUUGUUUUAAAUUUUACUUUUUUAUAUUAAUGUUUUUCACUUAAUGUAACUCUGAUGAAUGCUACUGCAGUAUGCCUGGAAGUGGAAAUUACAAUAUGAAUAUUUUUAAUGAGGAAAAAAACUGGCUUUUAAUUUUCAAGUGAGUCUUAUGUACUCCCCCACAUAUUUAGACAUAUAUGUGUGUGUGCACGCGUGCCUAUAUAUACUUACAUACUUCAUAUAUAUACACACACAUAUAUAUGUAUGUGAAGAGAGAGAGAAUAUGUAUACACACAUACCAUAUUUAGCAAGUUUUUAAGUGCUUUAGGUGUUGAGCUGUGAAUGAGAAAAAAGAGCAGGGGAUUCAAAUAAAAAUAAUGUGGCCUUAACAUAAUUAUUGGUAUCUUAGAUUUUGUUUCUAUUUACUGUUGAAUUUUAGGUAAAAAUUCAGAAUAUCUUAGAAUAGCUCAUCAAAUUUCCAGUCAAUGAUAUAACCCAGCCCCAACCCAUAGAACAUGAUACACUGCAUUUUUACAUAUUAUAGUUCUUUGAUAUAUCUAGUGAGAAGCAUUAUUUAUCAAUUUUCUUUAAUGUCUUAUUGUAUUGUAUAUUAUAUAAAUAAACUCUAUUAGUAUAUUCCUGUUUAAAAAUGAUUUUUGUAAGGCUUCACUAACUUGAAAUUUCCAGACAAAGAAAAACUUGUACCAUCCCUUUUUUCCUUUAACGAAAUCAAGUAAAUCUGAAUGCAUUAGUGGUCUACAUUUCCACUGAGGAUAAUUGACAGGCACUGAUGUCUCCCCUUUUAAGUAACUGUCAAAGGGUAUCCUAAGAGGCUCUAGGGAAUAUGGUAAGCCAUUGCUAAUGAUGUUUAUAUGUCUGAAUAUCACCCUAACAAUGUAACACUCUCCCAUUAACAAAAUUGUUUCUAAAAUUACCAUCAACAUUAUUCCAAUAAAUGUAAUCUUGUUAUUUCAUUAUGAAA